rnacentral:rRNA from 1 species
UACAGAGGGUGCAAGCGUUAAUCGGAAUUACUGGGCGUAAAGCGUGCGUAGUCGGUUAUCUAAGUCGGGUGUGAAAUCCCCGGGCUCAACCUGGGAAUUGCAUUCGAUACUGGAUAGCUAGAGUUCGGCAGAGGGAAGCGGAAUUUCGGGUGUAGCGGUGAAAUGCGUAGAUAUCCGAAGGAACAUCAGUGGCGAAAGCGGCUUCCUGGACCAGAACUGACGAUCAGGCACGAAAGCGUGGGUAGCAAACAGG